rnacentral:tRNA from 2 species
GACCGCUUGGCCGAGUGGUUAAGGCGAUAGACUAGAAAUCUAUUGGGGUAACCCGCGUGAGUUCAAAUCUCACAGCUGUCG